rnacentral:lncRNA from 1 species
UCUGAAUGAAUGCUGCAGUAAUUAUAUUUAUAGGGAAAAAAGGCACGGCCUAGGUAGCAUUGGAAAAGGAUUGGCACUCCAAACCCAAGUGGAAUGGGUUAAAACAAUUAGAAACCAAGAGAAAUUAGGAUGACACAUCAAAAACCAUCAGGAACAAGGAUAUAGGGUGCAUCACAACUAGGAAAAGGGGUUCUAGAAAGGGUUGGGGUGCCACUUUUGUAGGGAGAGGAGAUAAGGCUUCUAGAAUAUGAAAUAUGUAUUUUAAAUGCAUAAUUAUCCCUUAUAAAUGGCUGGAAUUAAGGCACAAGCUGAUUUGGAUAAGAUAAGGUUGGAUAAUGCUAGAUUAGGAAAGGAUAAGAUAAGAUAAGGUUAGUUUGGAUAAGAUAAGGUUGAAUAAGAUUUUGGAUAAUAGCUCCUUCAUUUGAGCUGAUUCCUUAUCUUCUUUGUCUUAGAUUUAUUUUCUUCAUCUUUUCAGCA